UGAGUAAUGUCUGGGAAACUGCCUGAUGGAGGGGGAUAACUACUGGAAACGGUAGCUAAUACCGCAUAACGUCGCAAGACCAAAGAGGGGGACCUUCGGGCCUCUUGCCAUCGGAUGUGCCCAGAUGGGAUUAGCUUGUUGGUGGGGUAACGGCUCACCAAGGCGACGAUCCCUAGCUGGUCUGAGAGGAUGACCAGCCACACUGGAACUGAGACACGGUCCAGACUCCUACGGGAGGCAGCAGUGGGGAAUAUUGCACAAUGGGCGCAAGCCUGAUGCAGCCAUGCCGCGUGUAUGAAGAAGGCCUUCGGGUUGUAAAGUACUUUCAGCGGGGAGGAAGGGAGUAAAGUUAAUACCUUUGCUCAUUGACGUUACCCGCAGAAGAAGCACCGGCUAACUCCGUGCCAGCAGCCGCGGUAAUACGGAGGGUGCAAGCGUUAAUCGGAAUUACUGGGCGUAAAGCGCACGCAGGCGGUUUGUUAAGUCAGAUGUGAAAUCCCCGGGCUCAACCUGGGAACUGCAUCUGAUACUGGCAAGCUUGAGUCUCGUAGAGGGGGGUAGAAUUCCAGGUGU
rnacentral:rRNA from 1 species